UAUAAAGCGUGGAAAAGAAAUAGUAGGGAUAUGGACAUUACAGAGAACCUUUGGUUGGUGGAAAAAGGUAUGCGAAGUAUUUUGAACACAUCUUGGAGUGCUGAGGUGAAAAAAGUAGCCCAGACGUUUUGCAUACGUUACCCUGCUGAGUAUUCGUUACUCUUAGAGGCAGUCAUUGAUUGCGAAAUAAGGUGGAACCACGUAAGCUAGCUUUCGUCCUUUAG
rnacentral:ncRNA from 1 species